rnacentral:lncRNA from 1 species
AGUAUCAGUAACAUAAAACCUUAUUUGGUUUCGGACGCACAGUCCGCAGGGGUGCCGUCCACUGACAAUCUCCUCUCUGGCCUCUUCAAUCUCUCCCCUUCCACUGGCUCAUUCUUGCUGCCUACCAAGCGUGUCCUAUUUUUCUGACCAACAGUUAGGAGAAAAUUACAAGCGUGGAUAAGACAACGUGGAAGAAAAGCAGACAGACAGGACAGAGGACUGGAAAGAGAAAGACAUGGAUGCUGGACAUCGGGACUCUUCCACGUGGCACGAAGCCUCUCUCUUCACAUUUAUAGACCAUGGUUUUGAAAUAUCCGCCUCCCACUCAUCAUCUCUUUCCUCGCCCCAAACUCACUUAUCAGCAAGCUGAGUGAAUUCUGCCCCUGAGUCUCUCAAAGCCGCCUGGCAAGCAGUGGCUUCCCAAUGUCUUUAUCCAACCAGCCCCCUUUGGCUGAAACUAGACUCCUUUGCCCCAGAGGACCCGGCUCCUCCCUGAUUCCUGGCCCUCUUUGCUAUCUUGGCUUCUGAGAUACAGUCCCCUCCUGGACCUCCUCCUAAUGCCACCACUUCCUCAAGCUUCUGUCUCCUCCAGCUCCUCCUCUUCUACUCAGAAUCCCACUUCCAAGCUCCUUUGAUUCAGUCUAACAUCACUCCCCAGAGCAAUGCCAUCCAGCCCGGUGCUCCCAACAAGAACUCCAGGAAGGCCAACUUCAGAACAGCCCCCACAUCCCUCCCGCGUUCAGGAAUCCCAUCGCUUCCUGCCGCAAACCUGAACUCAUCAUCGGCUCUCCCCGGGCUUCCUCCCACCCCCGACGUCCUUGUUUUUGCAAUGGGUGAUACCCUCCAGCUGGUCACCUGUGAUAAACACGUAGGGAAACACCUGCUACCUCAUCUUCUCCCACCAUCUCUAUGGCUAUUCGGUGCCAGUAUCUCUCAUCCCUACAGGCCCCUACGUUUCCAAUGGAGUGAGUUGUGCAAGGUCCUGUCAAGAUCAUCUACAGGUCCCACAAUCUCCAAUCUCCGCUGCCAAGGGCAUGGAUCUCUCCAGAAAAGCAUCCCUGACUGACACAGCUGCAGAGCCGUGUCCCAGGCCCAAUGCUCCUCCAACCAGGAGAACUCCUCCAUGGCUCCCCGUGGGGUUGGGCAGAAGCUAGUCUAGGAGUGACUCAGAGCUGGGUCCCUCAUCCUUCUUCUGAAAGCACAGCCCCCGGUGAUCAUUUGAACAAACAUCCUGGCCCCAGGCUGGGUCUCCGGGGAACUCACGCUAAGAUAACUAGUGUUAAGUCCAUGUUUCUGGUUCCUCUGCCUUUAGCUCUGGUCACUGCCAUACCCAUAACUGGCUGUGCCACCUGACUUCCCUCGUAAUUGACUCGUCAGGGACACUGAGACCAAAUUAAACACGUUCUAAGGGUCUAACGGAAAAAAAGAUGAAGACAUUAGAAAGAUGUACAAAACUAGAUUACCAAUAACCACUACAAGAUUUAGCAUGUUCAACUCCACUAGAGCCAAAAUUGAAAUACGAUUUUCUAUCUAGCAAAUUAGCAGAUUUAUCUGUAAUAUUAUUACAUCUUUAUUAUGUUAUAUAAAGCUAGUGGGAACAUUUAUUCCUGCACUCCAGAUACGUGUUGUUUUCAGCCAAUACAUUUGUGGUAAUUUAUUACAACAGUAAUAGAAAACUAAUAGAGAGAAGGGAUAAAUGUUUGCUGUUUUAAGUCACUAAGUUUUGGGGGUAAUUUAAGAGCAGAAGAUAACUAAUACAUGCAUCAGGAGAGAAGCCAAACUCAAAAAGCUACAUAUGGAAUUCUGCUAUUUAUGUAAAUUCUAGAAAAGGCAAAACUUUAGGGACAGGGAAAAAAAAAAAAUCAGGGGUUCCCGUCGUGGCGCAGUGGUUAACGAAUCCGACUAGGAACCAUGAGGUUGCGGGUUCGAUCCCUGGCCUUGCUCAGUGGGUUAAGGAUCCAGUGUUGCUGUGAGCUGUGGUGUAGGUUGCAGACGCGGCUCAGAUCCCGCGUUGCUGUGGCUCUGGCGUAGACUGGUGGCUACAGCUCCGAUUGGACCCCUAGCCUGGGAACCUCCAUAUGCCGUGGGAGCAGCCCUAGAAAAGACAAAAAGACCAAAAAAAAAAACCAAACUAAUCCAUUAUCAUUGCUGCUGAAGCUCUGGUUCGAUCACUGGCCCAGGGACUUCUUCACACCGAGGGCCCACCCCCACCCCUAAAGGAGGAGGACAACAAGAGUGUGCUGUGUGCUUCUGACGGCACGGAGCACACCCCGGACGGCCGCUCGGCCGCUGUAAGUGCACGUGAACCACACCAACCUGGCCGCAGCCACCUCUGCAUCUCCGCAAAGCCCCUAGCACAGGUGAUUAACACGGAAGGGCUGCAUCUAGCCGAAACUCAAGCAACACUUGAUGCCCACGUUCUGGGGCCUUCCAAUCGCCACCAAGGCACCAAGCUCCCAGGAUCCCAUCUGCACCCUCUACAAACACCCACAGUCCAUCUCAACAGUGCCGGCCACCCUCAGUGCUCGACAGUAACUGCAACAACCCAACUCCAGGACGUCUCGUCUCAAGCGUCCCUUGUCAAGGGACCAUCAGCUCUCGAGGCACAGCAUCUCCCAGGAGCCGGGCCUUCAGUUCCUUCAGGGAUGUGCCCACUCCUACAUAUCGUGACAUUUUCAACUGCAGGAGACAGUCUGAAUGGACAUAGGCUGCUUCUGCCGGAGACAAUAACUGUUGUCCGUGAGAAGAGAGGUCCUUGUUUGCCCAGGGUGUUGCAUGUGGUAAGACGGAAGCCUUAUGUAUGCAUGCACUCAAAUGCAAACAUCUGAGUCAAUGCUACUUUCCCAGUGACAUCAGGAUAAGCCAUUAUACAGCCAAAUUUUUACAAUAUAUCAAAGAUGGCAGAAGAACACGGAGAAAAGUGGAUUUGUUCUAGUUGAUCAACAGCACUUCUUUUGCUUUGGAGACAAGACCGGUGCACUGUGACUCAAGGAACCUAAGAGUCAGACACACAGUUUCCCCUGUGAGAGGUAAGUAGGGCAUUUUAAAAGAGCCUGUGAGGAGGUCUCUUGUGGUGCAGUGGACUGAAGAUCCGGUGUUGUCACUGCAGUGGCUCGAGUCACUGCGGUGGUGGGGGUUCCACCCUUGCUCCUGAACUUCCACAUGCCACAAGCACAGCUCAAAGACUAAUUAACCAAGUACUUAAUUAAAUAAAAUAUGCUCCUAGGAGCAACAGCCACCAUCAUGGGGUCAUUUACAACGAAGGUUGGUAAAGUGAACCAUAACACGCUCCCCCAAAACGAGACGGACCCUUACAGGUUAAAUAAACACCCCGCAGAAUGUUAGCACAAGUGUAACUUUGGGGGGAUUCCCGUUCAGACACAGCAAAAGAGUGAGCUAAGUGGAAUGUUAUGAACAGGGAAAUACGUUCCAAUUUCUCCUUGAAACAGGAUGUCACACCAUCUGAGGGCACUUCUCAAGUGAGUUGCAAGAAUUUGUACUACUUGGAAACACUCUGAAACUCAACAGAAAGGGCUUAAGGACCCCAAAUCCCCAAAGUAACUGUUUUUCACAGUCUUAGCUGGUAUUCAUUGGUCCUUUUUCUCCCAGAAAAGGAAGAGGAAGAAAAUGAUUAUAGAAUUUCGAGGUGGCCCCUGCUUCAAUAACUAGGGCUGGUUUAUCUUGAACUCCUGGAUGGGAGCCUAAACCUGAAAGAGGCAUUCUCUUCUAGAGCCGCCCCGAGCCAGGGAAGGUUCCUGACACAUGCGUAAUCCAUCAACCGCAUCUGCCCCACAUGCAGCGUGCAACGCCACUGGAAAAACUCUGGGUGAUCUUACGUGGUACGCAGGCAAUUUUCAACAAUGCUUAUUUGCUGUAAGGGACUGGAAAAAUAUAUUAGCAUCUCAAACUCACAAUGAAAAUAAUGGUAAAAGGAAAGGAUAAUACCCGCCUGGUCUGAUAGCCGUGAGAACUCGAGGAAAAAUGGAAAAUGCCCCGAGAGAGUCAGUGCCUAAAAAACAGUCCAUUUUCUUUUCUCAGCAGCCUGUUCCCUGGAUCUUGGGCUAUACUUUGCGGACACGACAUCCAUCGAUAAUUCAGAUAUAAAAUGUGUAUAUAAUUGUCUCCCACAUUUAUGAAAUGCCUAUAUAUUGCUUCCCAUGUCCUUAUUCACUAUCUCUGCGAGGUAAGAUCCUGAAGAAACACGCAAAGAAAUAAAGCUGGUUGUGACCGUCCAGCGUCUGUGCUGCUCAAUUUUAAAGGACCACAUCCUUCAAGCACAUGAGGACACGAUCAAAUAUUAAAAUAACAAUUAAUGCAGAGCGGAUUCUGCUGUCAAGAUAACCCAGCCACACUUGUUGUUGUUGUUUUAAGUUGGAAAAGAGAAAAUGAGCUGAACCCAUCAGCAGGAAAAGAGCAGAGGGCUGGCUGUAUUCCCAGGAGAACACUAGGAAUUUUUCAUUUCAUGCACCAUUUACAACUUCUUACAGUGAAUUCCAGAACAUCAGUACAUGUAUGUGCCUAACGGAAAACAGAAACACUCAGGUUUCACCAUUCCCUUCAAUUUCCGCCUCGGGUCCGCUAUCUUGUGUUUUCCCACCCUCCCUAUGACGUGCAGUCCCAGCAGCAAGAUCUCACCCUCACUGAUGCUGAGUGGGGGCAGGAGGAACACAGGAAUGUGCCCACACCUUCUUCCAGGAGGGCUUUAUAGGAAAAAAAAAAAAAAUCGAUGUGAUAAUUAAGCCGCCAACAGCACGUAAACCAACAGACGCGUGGCCUCAGAUGCAGGGCUGACUCUGCUGUGAGCGUCCCCUUGUCUCCAUGGCUCUCCUGACCUCUCCGCUUAGGACUGUACUGCCCUGUGCUCAGCUCCUGGUGACAUUUAAUAAAAUGGACAAUUGGUGAUAAGCACAAGAAAGAUAGGAGGCUGGGGGCGCAAGAAUAUAAGCUCAUAACCUGGUCACCUCACAGGAACACAGCUCCCGCGGUGACUGGAAAAUGCCAAUUAACCCAAGUCCCUCUUGGCAAAUUCCCAUUCGUUCCGUUGCCAAAUGAAUCAUGGUCACGUCCUUCAGAAAUGCACUUGGGAUGUGGACGGAGUCUUGGGAGGCGAAACUGGAGUUUAGCAAACUCUACAAGGAGCCCAGAGACUAUAGUAGCCACAGCCAUAAAUCAAGGGGGACCUGGUCGACGGGGAGGGCUGGGGGAUGGCAAUAGGGGAGGAGAGCCACAGCUGCCCACGGACAAGGAGAGAAAGUCCGAAUCGUGGACAAGGCAGCUGGGAGGGCUGAAUCUGCCUCUGGUCACCGCUGCUCCCACACCCAGCACCGUGCCUGACAUAAAACAGACGUUUGCUGAACUACUGAAUCCCUACCAAUUAAGUAAGAU